rnacentral:misc_RNA from 1 species
UUAAGUUCAGCGGGUAGUCCCACCUGAUUCGAGGUCAAACUGAAAAAUGGAACGGAUCGUUAUUAGCAACCCAUAAACCAGAUUAGAGAGCAACCCAAACGAGAAUUGGCCACCCCGAAAGAUGUCCUCAGCGGUCAGUUUAUUAUCACGCUGAGUAGAACCAAUGCCAUCAUGAGGGUCAGCUAAUGCUUUUAAGGCCA